rnacentral:rRNA from 1 species
GAUGAACGCUGGCGGCGUGCUUAACACAUGCAAGUCGAGCGAGAAGUUUUGAAAAGAUUCUUCGGAUGAAAUUUAAAAUGGAAAGCGGCGGACGGGUGAGUAACGCGUAGGCAACCUGCCCCAUACAAAGGGAUAGCAUUUGGAAACGAAUAUUAAUACCUUAUGAAACUUAACUAGUGCAUGCUAGGUAGGUCAAAGAUUUAUCGGUAUGGGAUGGGCCUGCGUCUGAUUAGCUAGUUGGUGAGGUAACGGCUCACCAAGGCGACGAUCAGUAGCCGACCUGAGAGGGUGAACGGCCACAUUGGAACUGAGACACGGUCCAAACUCCUACGGGAGGCAGCAGUGGGGAAUAUUGCACAAUGGGGGAAACCCUGAUGCAGCAACGCCGCGUGAACGAGGAAGGCCUUUGGGUCGUAAAGUUCUGUUCUAGGGGAGGAAAACUGACAGUAACCGAGGAGAAAGCCCCGGCUAACUCCGUG